AUGAACGCUAGCUACAGGCUUAACACAUGCAAGUCGAGGGGCAGCAUGGUCUUAGCUUGCUAAGGCCGAUGGCGACCGGCGCACGGGUGAGUAACACGUAUCCAACCUGCCGUCUACUCUUGGACAGCCUUCUGAAAGGAAGAUUAAUACAAGAUGGCAUCAUGAGUCCGCAUGUUCACAUGAUUAAAGGUAUUCCGGUAGACGAUGGGGAUGCGUUCCAUUAGAUAGUAGGCGGGGUAACGGCCCACCUAGUCUUCGAUGGAUAGGGGUUCUGAGAGGAAGGUCCCCCACAUUGGAACUGAGACACGGUCCAAACUCCUACGGGAGGCAGCAGUGAGGAAUAUUGGUCAAUGGGCGAGAGCCUGAACCAGCCAAGUAGCGUGAAGGAUGACUGCCCUAUGGGUUGUAAACUUCUUUUAUAAAGGAAUAAAGUCGGGUAUGCAUACCCGUUUGCAUGUACUUUAUGAAUAAGGAUCGGCUAACUCCGUGCCAGCAGCCGCGGUAAUACGGAGGAUCCGAGCGUUAUCCGGAUUUAUUGGGUUUAAAGGGAGCGUAGAUGGAUGUUUAAGUCAGUUGUGAAAGUUUGCGGCUCAACCGUAAAAUUGCAGUUGAUACUGGAUAUCUUGAGUGCAGUUGAGGCAGGCGGAAUUCGUGGUGUAGCGGUGAAAUGCUUAGAUAUCACGAAGAACUCCGAUUGCGAAGGCAGCCUGCUAAGCUGCAACUGACAUUGAGGCUCGAAAGUGUGGGUAUCAAACAGGAUUAGAUACCCUGGUAGUCCACACGGUAAACGAUGAAUACUCGCUGUUUGCGAUAUACAGCAAGCGGCCAAGCGAAAGCGUUAAGUAUUCCACCUGGGGAGUACGCCGGCAACGGUGAAACUCAAAGGAAUUGACGGGGGCCCGCACAAGCGGAGGAACAUGUGGUUUAAUUCGAUGAUACGCGAGGAACCUUACCCGGGCUUAAAUUGCAGAUGAAUUACGGUGAAAGCCGUAAGCCGCAAGGCAUCUGUGAAGGUGCUGCAUGGUUGUCGUCAGCUCGUGCCGUGAGGUGUCGGCUUAAGUGCCAUAACGAGCGCAACCCUUGUUGUCAGUUACUAACAGGUUCUGCUGAGGACUCUGACAAGACUGCCAUCGUAAGAUGUGAGGAAGGUGGGGAUGACGUCAAAUCAGCACGGCCCUUACGUCCGGGGCUACACACGUGUUACAAUGGGGGGUACAGAGGGCCGCUACCACGCGAGUGGAUGCCAAUCCCAAAAACCUCUCUCAGUUCGGACUGGAGUCUGCAACCCGACUCCACGAAGCUGGAUUCGCUAGUAAUCGCGCAUCAGCCACGGCGCGGUGAAUACGUUCCCGGGCCUUGUACACACCGCCCGUCAAGCCAUGGGAGCCGGGGGUACCUGAAGUGCGUAACCGCGAGGAGCGCCCUAGGGUAAAACUGGUGACUGGGGCU
rnacentral:rRNA from 1 species